ACAAAGCUAGGAGGUGAUGGUCAAUCCUGAGCUAUACUUUGUCAUCUUUUACCAGAUCUAUAUUUAGCUUCUUGGAACUCUCUUGGAGGACAUAUUUUCUUUCUUGGAAUGAUGAAGUAAAGGCACACACUUCAAGGCCCAGCACAGACAUUUCAUAUCAGAGAGCUUUCUACUGUGUUUCUUUCUACUGUGUUUCUUCUGCUGAUGGAAGGGAGAGCAGGAGGCAGGAUCUUCAAUGGUACACAAAACGGUAGAGAAAGGUACAAAGGUACCUUCAAAUGGUAGGAGGAAGGUGUGAUGAAAGGAAACCAAAGAAUAGCACAUCUCCUCAGGCACUUAAAAUUGAGUGGUGAUGGGGGUCCUCUUGAGGUAUGAUCAGGGCUCCCCAAGAAUGAGGGCAGAAGAAGCCAGUUACUGAGGAGAAUGGGGGCCCAAGCUUCCAGGAACAGGACUGGAACUUAAGACUCACCAUGAGUUCAUUAGGCAUGGAGAGUCCAAGCCAGGACAAGAGACCCUGAAGACCAGUAGAUGUCACCAACACACAUCUGAGGACCAACACACGGUCCGAGUGCAACUGGCCUCCCAAAAUGAAGAUAUGCCAGUCAUCUCCCAUCCCUCACACUUGGGUACCAAAUUAGGGGGUUGAGUAAGAGGGAGCAGCUGAUAGGAAUGGGGCCAUUUUAAUCUGAGAAAAGCUGGGUAUUGCUUUAAAAGGAAUGUUUCAAUGAUCUGAUUUAAAGGCCAGGCUUCACAUUUUCAGGCACAGUUGAGUUUAAAUGCAUAAUGAGUGAAAUUUUGCAGUUUCAUCACACCUGUUGCUCCCAGAUAGUGAGUCUGCAGAUGGCAUAUCAUCAGAGGAGGCUGAGUCCCUUUUGGGUCCAUCCAAAUCACACCAUAGCACAGCCUUCUUUGCUAUCUCUACCUAAGUGACCCAGACCCUGUGGCCUGUACAAAGCCUCCCUUGAUAGUAAAACAUCAUAUGUUAGAUGAAUCGGCAUCUCAGAAAUAUGUUGGAUAAACCAGAGGUCUAACCCAGAGACCUUUCUGAGUCGUCAGUAAAUCCCGUUUGGUACACUAAAUGUUUUCUGCAAAUCCUCACAUCCUCUCCUAUGGCCUUAUUUAGCUCCUUCCUUUGUUCCUCUGUCCCUUGGUCCCCACCAGUAAUCAUCUCAGACUUUAUAUGGAACAUACCUGCUUUUCCAGUGUGGACUUCUUUUUGGAGGCUCUGAAAUGAGAAUGACUCACUGACAUGAACAUGUCUCAAACACUGGUGUUAUGGCUCGGGCCACCUUCGGACUCCAUGCCUUCAGUGGCUGUGCUGUCACUGUCUGACCCCAACACAAAGUUCAGCUCCUCUGAGCUCUGGAGUCAGGCCUUGUCAAACAACUGGAAUUAGAGAGAAGUUCACUCUGCUCUUAUUGGGCCCAGAAUCGAGAUCGGGAUGAGAUCCACAGAUUUGGGCUCAGAACUAGUAAAGGUCUGAGCUGGUCAGCUGGGAAGGAAGGCCUGGGGCAUGACCCCCUGUCUCAUUCUAUCCUGCUACUUACAGUCCCUGACAUCACAAUGUGGAGACAGCAAUCAACAGUCGCUGUGCAUGCCCUUAGUAGCUCUUAACAGACAGUCUGGGAAAUACUGUUCCAGAAACACCGCUGCACUAUGGAAUUAUUUUACACAGACAGCGGUGCACCCAACGGAAGCCCUGCUGGCCAGGCAAGGCUGACCUGCACGCUGGCCUGUCAGAAGCCUCCUAGUGUUUUGAAACGAUGUCAACUCAUCCCACAAACGUCCCCUGUGUGAAAGAGGCCAAGCUGUCUGACACAGCCGUAGUUGGGGCAAGACGGAACUGGCAUACGGUGUGCUGUUAACGGGCUGGAUGGAUCCACCACCUGCUGUUUCUUCUGAUGGUAGAGAACUCUGCAAGACAGGACACAGCUCAGUUCUAAAUUCAUCCAAGUCCGGGCACCUGGGUGGCUCAGUCAGUUAAGUGUCUGCCUAUGGCUCAGUCAUGAUCUCAGGGGCCUGGGUUCAAGUCCCCAGCUGGCUCCCCACUCAGUCAGCUUCUCCCUCUGCCCCACCCUCUCCCCUUGCUCAUGCUUUCUCUCUCUCUCAAAAAUAAAUAAGUAAAUAAAUAAGUAAAAUCUUUAACAAAUAAAUACACAAAUAAAUUCAUCCCAGUCUUUUGUAAGGCACCUGAGUAACCCAAGGGAAGCUUUUCCUCUGGUGAAGGAGGCAGUUCCUUACCUUGGUGGUUUGCCUUUUGAUGUCAUACUAGGAGAGAGAAUGUGUGGAGUGGUGGGAAUCAUAGCCUCUAACAGAUGACGUUAUGUUGUGUCUCCUCUGCGGGUGGUCCCAACACAACCUGUGUGGAAUUCAACACUAGACUUCCCUAGGGGAAAGAUGAUAUAUAUUUUUUUUGAGAUUGAAUAAUCAUAUAUAUUGCUUUGUCAUGUCCCUUUUACAUUAUGGCUUUAAAAAAUAUGCAUGCCACUUGAAUCUGUAUUUGAGAAUAUUUACAAAUAUCCAAGGCCUUCUUCUUCCUUUUUUUUUAAACUCCAUUUUUGCUGAGAUAUAAUUCACAUAACAGAAAUUUCACCAAUUUUAGGUAUCCAUAACACAACUGUAUGCAUAACCAAUUUAAAAACAUUUCUAUCAUUUGCACAACUCCCCCCUCAAACUCACUAGAAAUUACUGUCUUUAUCCUUUUGCCCCAUAUUCUGUGGAAAUACAAGUCUACCUUUCCUCUGUAUGGGUUUGCCUAUUCUCAUGAUUUCAUAUAAAUGAAAUGAUACAUGCUCCUCUGUGAUCAUAUAUUUUCACUUAACAUUAUAGCUUCAAAGUUCAUCUGUGUUGUAAGAUAUGUUAGUUCUUCAUUCCAAUUUAUGGGCUAAAUAAUAUUCCAUUGUAUGAAAAUACCACAUAUUAUUUAUCCAUUCGCCUUUUGGUGGACAUUCGAGUUUCUACCUUUUGGAUAAUAUUUCUGUGAAACUUUGUGUACACAUUUUUCUAGGGACAUACAUUUUUGUUCUACUUCUGUGUAUACCUAGGAAUGGAAUUACUGGCUUAGAAAGUAACUUUAUAACUAACAUUUCUUGGAACUGGUAAAAUGUUUUUCAAAUUGGCACCAUUUUACAUUCCCACUAGCAAUGUUUAUCAGUCCCAAUCUCUUCACAUCAUGGUCAGUUUCAUCUGUGUUUUUUUUUUUUUUUUUAAUUAUAUUGGCCCUCGUGAGUGUAGAGUGAUAUCUCAUAUUUCCUUGAAACUAAUGAUUUUGAGCACAAAAGGUGAUAAUUAUUUAGAGUCAGAUAAUAAAAAAAGUAAAAAUUCAUUCAGUUGCUUGAGGUUCUAAAUAUGGUUUUAAGAAUGUGUGGGGUGUUACGCAUAUAGAUACUUCCCAAGGAGUGACAUUAAACAUUUUAAUGGCAUGAUGGCAUAACCAACUAUGAUAGAGUCUAGUAUGAUGACACCAGCAGGUAUCAGUGGGGCAUCUGUGUUGCUGCUAAAUCAGUCCACAGAGUUGUACUACUGCCUGAGUACUCGAUUUAAAGAAGCCAGCACUGGUUCCAGUAACUGCCCAAGCCAGAGUGGUUCUUCAAGGGUUUUGGAUCCAUCUCAACAUUUGAUAUGUUCCCAGAAUUUUCCCUUUGAAGCAGAACCUAACACUUUACUCAAUGAAAAAACCCUAAACUUUGGAAAACUAAGCGUGCUCAAUUGCUGGAAAACUAUGGGUCUUCCCAGAUGGGAGAAAUGAAGAAGCUUCAUUCUUCAAGUCAACUCCUUAGCUCAACUCCUCAGGAUGGGUCUUAGGAAAGAUGACACAUUUCUUUCUAAACUCUGGAGAGCCCUUGAGGAACCUUCUGCAAAGUGAUGAGUAUUUGAUCUGCCAUCGGCUGUAGAGAGUCAUGUUUCUAAGUGGCCUCCCUCGGGCACCAAACGUUGGAUCCGUGUCUCGAAAGCUGUGAAGUUGGACAGCCGUGAGAGAACACUCUCCUUUCUCUGGAGGAGAGAAUGUCAUUUUCAACACAUUGCUGUACAAUUUGUGAAAGAAUAAAAAAGGCUUAUGAUUUUCCUGUGACAUCGGAUGGCAGCUGGAAGUUACCCUGGAAGAGCAGUAAUGUGCCCUGACACUGCUUUGAGGAUAAUCUCCCCAAGAGGGGACCUCUCGAGCUGUCAUGUAUGGUUGACCUUGAACCAGUGCCCACGAUGCUAAUUUGUAACGACUAAGCUUUGCAGCACAGUUGGCUGAUCCAAGGAUUCUAUGACAUCCAUAUUUGCAGCCAGUGAUUUUCAAGUACUUUGAGUUUCAGACUUAUAACAAUAUACAAGAAAAUGGAAUCAGGGAAGAUAAACCACUUGCUCUUCAAACCUCAUUCAGACACGUGAGGUUUGCCUCUUUGAGGCUUGUGGUAAGUACUCGACUUCACAAGCUAUUUUUCCUAUGACGAUGAAAUUCAUCUGUUACAGAUCUUUGUGCAGUGUUAGCAUUGCAGAUGCUGAAGAUGAUGGCCAGCUCAUCAGCGUAUCUUGAACAAAAGACAUUAAAUGAUUUCAUCAGCCAAGAGAAGAAACCACUCCAGGGUGAUGAGCUCAUGGCCAUUGACUUCCAAUUUAUUUUUAAAAUUGAUAUAUA